GACUCGGUGGCGCAACGUUAGCACGUCUGACUCCAGAUCAGAAGGUUGCGUGUUCGAAUCACGUCCGGGUCA
rnacentral:tRNA from 1 species